GAGUGUUGUCACCUAUCGACCAUUUUCCACAGAAUUGAAUGGAGAUGAAUCGAGCGCUUUCAUUUGUCAAGUUGUGGAUGAUACAAGUGAAACGUUCUUCGAUGUGAAAUCUUUCGAGCUCAAGCGCAUAGACCAAGAGUUUAUCCUGUGUGAUGGCCAUAUGAAGUACAGACAUUUUGCUGAAUUCGUGGGCACUUCCAAUCGCAAGCCCUAUGGUGCUGUUAUUUUAACUCGUGGCGAGAAUCCUAAGGCCGUUGGGAUCUUGAACUUCUCAGACGAUGAAAAUAAAGAGAUUUUACCCAUCUUGUUGCCUGACAGUCAAAUACGAUAUUUAGUAAGUGACUGGAAUUUGAUGUGACAGUUUUGUCUAGAGGAACUGAAAUAUGCUGUGUGUGUGAGAAAAUGCAUGGAAAAAUUAGAUACCCUCAAUUACCAGUGGUGGUAAUUUGCCCAAGUUCAUAAGUGAGAGGAUAUUCUGCCAUUCUUUGUUUCAUUAUUAUAACAAAUGUGUGGCCCAGUUAUUGCUGCCCUUGGUGACAAUUGGCAAACUCAGUAGAAUUGGAUGGGGGUCA